ACGGCGACCGGCGCACGGGUGAGUAACACGUAUGCGACCUGCCCGUAGCAGGGGGAUAAGCGGAAGAAAUUCCGUCUAAUACCGCGUAAUAUCUUUCGGGGGCAUCCCUGAGGGAUUAAAGGAAGCGAUUCCGGCUACGGAUGGGCAUGCGGCGCAUUAGCUAGUCGGCGGGGUAACGGCCCACCGAGGCGACGAUGCGUAGGGGUUCUGAGAGGAAGGUCCCCCACACUGGUACUGAGACACGGCCCAAACUCCUACGGAAGGCAGCAG
rnacentral:rRNA from 1 species